GACGAACGCUGGCGGCGUGCCUAAUACAUGCAAGUCGAACGCUUUUUCUCUCACCGGAGCUUGCUCCACCGAAAGAAAAAGAGUGGCGAACGGGUGAGUAACACGUGGGUAACCUGCCCAUCAGAAGGGGAUAACACUUGGAAACAGGUGCUAAUACCGUAUAACACUAUUUUCAGCAUGGAAGAAAGUUGAAAGGCGCUUUUGCGUCACUGAUGGAUGGACCCGCGGUGCAUUAGCUAGUUGGUGAGGUAACGGCUCACCAAGGCAACGUUGCAUAGCCGACCUGAGAGGGUGAUCGGCCACACUGGGACUGAGACACGGCCCAGACUCCUACGGGAGGCAGCAGUAGGGAAUCUUCGGCAAUGGACGAAAGUCUGACCGAGCAACGCCGCGUGAGUGAAGAAGGUUUUCGGAUCGUAAAACUCUGUUGUUAGAGAAGAACAAGGAUGAGAGUAAAACGUUCAUCCCUUGACGGUAUCUAACCAGAAAGCCACGGCUAACUACGUGCCAGCCGCCGCGGUAA
rnacentral:rRNA from 1 species